rnacentral:rRNA from 1 species
GAUGAACGCUGGCGGCGUGCCUAAUACAUGCAAGUCGAGCGAACAGAUGAGGAGCUUGCUCCUAUGACGCUAGCGGCGGACGGGUGAGUAACACGUGGAUAACCUACAUAUAAGACUGGGAUAACUUCGGGAACCCGGAGCUAAUACAGGAUAAUAUAUUGAACCGCAUGGUUCAAUAGUGAAAGACGGUUUUGCUGUCACUUAUAGAUGGAUCCGCGCCGCAUUAGCUAGUUGGUAAGGUAACGGCUUACCAAGGCAACGAUGCGUAGCCGACCUGAGAGGGUGAUCAGCCACACUGGAACUGAGACACGGUCCAGACUCCUACGGGAGGCAGCAGUAGGGAAUCUUCCGCAAUGGGCGAAAGCCUGACGGAGCAACGCCGCGUGAGUGAUGAAGGUCUUCGGAUCGUAAAACUCUGUUAUUAGGGAAGAACAAAUGUGUAAGUAACUAUGCACGUCUUGACGGUACCUAAACAGAAAGCCACGGCUAACUACGUG